rnacentral:tRNA from 1 species
AAGACUAUAGUCAAUCUUUUAUGACAUAUGAGUUGCAUUCAUAAGGAGUUUUUUAACUAGUUUUA